rnacentral:rRNA from 1 species
UACGUAGGGGGCGAGCGUUGUCCGGAUUUAUUGGGCGUAAAGAGCUCGUAGGCGGUUUGGUAAGUUGGAUGUGAAAUCUCCAGGCUCAACUUGGAGGGGUCAUUCGAUACUGCCAUGACUAGAGUUCGGUAGGGGAGUGUGGAAUUCCUGGUGUAGCGGUGGAAUGCGCAGAUAUCAGGAAGAACACCAACGGCGAAGGCAGCUCGCUGGGACGGUACUGACGCUGAGACGCGAAAGCGUGGGGAGCGAACAGG